rnacentral:rRNA from 1 species
AACGAACGCUGGCGGCAGGCUUAACACAUGCAAGUCGAGCGCCCCGCCAGGGGAGCGGCAGACGGGUGAGUAACGCGUGGGAACGUACCUUUUGGUUCGGAACAACUCCGGGAAACUGGAGCUAAUACCGGAUAAGCCCUAACGGGGAAAGAUUUAUCGCCGAAAGAUCGGCCCGCGUCUGAUUAGCUAGUUGGUGAGGUAACGGCUCACCAAGGCGACGAUCAGUAGCUGGUCUGAGAGGAUGAUCAGCUACACUGGGGCUGAGACACGGCCCAGACUCCUACGGGAGGGUGCAGUGGGGAAUAUUGGACGAUGGACGCAAGCCUAGUCAAGCCAUGCGGCGUGAGAGAUGAAGGCCUUAGUGUUGUAAAGCUCUUUGGUCCGGGAAGAUAAUGACGGUACCGGAUGAAGAAGCCCCGGCUAACUUCGUG